rnacentral:lncRNA from 1 species
UCUCCCCUGGUGAGUGGGAGACAAACUCUGCCAAACUUUUAAUUCCCUUCCCUCGUGAUCCGUGUAGCAGCAGCAGAGCAGUGAACCCCANAAANUGGAAGUCAGGUGUCACGCUGNGAGUUGGCNGACCGUUCGGAUUGGAGGCAGUAUUUAAGGUAAGAAUGAAACCUGACGCCACUUUUCCAUGCAAUCUUCUUCUUCUUCCUCGAACUCAACUUUCUGAAAUCUCAAAUUCUCCUCCUUCUCUCUAAACCUCCCUACCUUCUCUCUAAAAUUCUAACCCAUCUACUGUUCCGAUCACCCUUCAGAUCACACCUGAAGACUCCUGGUGGUCUCCUCUCUCACUUGAACCGUCCGGUUUCGAGUUUGCAUCUGACUUUGGAAACCUUAGAAGAGAUAGUUCCUACCAACCUACUUUCAAAGACCUAGCUGGAAUUAGAGGUAAGGGAAGCUUAUAAAAUUUAAUCUUAAUUUCUCUGUAUGGUUUGAAUGUAUGCCUGAUUUAAUGUAUGUUUGAUUUCUUAUGAUUGAGAUAUGNUAUGUUGUUGUAUGAGUUGUAUGAUAAGUAUAAAACUAUGAAUUUUGCACUGGUAUGAGUAUGUAUGAAACUUAGAGAAAAUAUGAAACUGAGAUCGAAGGUCAUUAGGACCGUUCGNUUCUNCCUUUUCCGUUCGGUCUCUUGGGACUGUUCGGCCUAGUGUGAUUACUAAAUUUAGUUNGUUUCCUUUAAUUGUUUGAUUGAUAGCUACUUAAGAAUGCUGGUCAUAAACCAANCGUUCGGCCUUCCAAGUGUUCGGCCUUAGGCUGACACUUAAAUUAUAAAACUUGUAAAUCUGAUGUUCUUCCUUUGAAACCGUCCGGUCACUUAAUGACUGAAUGGUCUAGUGAGACUCUAUUUAUUGAAACGUCNGNUUUACUUGACUAAAGUCCUUUUUACCCCUUUUUAAAGAGUUUCUUCUUUCUUAAUUCGUUCGGUCGGAUAAGUGUUGGUCAUAGACCAACCUUCGACUAUGAUUUGAGCUUAUUUUAUAACACUCUUUGUCAAACCGUUCGGAUGACUAUCCCUUAUAGUCAAUCCUUGAGUUAUGGUCUCAUUCUUUGCUAAACCAUCCUAUCAACCAUUUGACAUUCUUCUGUUAUUCAGUCUUACCUUUGAUAUGACCGUCNGGCCACUUACCUGAAUUCUUAAUACUCAGUUUCCCAUUUCGCUUAAACCGUUCGGUCACUAUUAUUUAUAAUUCAGUCUUGGAUAAUUGGUAUUUUCUCAACACCCUAACGNCUUGGAAGUAAUAACACACCUUGAUUGAAUUUGGCUAAGUAAGAGAAUUCCACUGGAGGAAUGUCUCAUGAAUUGGUAAUGAUUGGUAAAGUAUGAACGUGGGAAUGACUCAGGUGUCGUCCUGAUCCUGAUAUUCCGUGAGGACGCUUUCUCAGGUAGAGAAAGGUCACUCAUGUGUGGGAAUGGCAGGAGGUCCGCGGUUAUAUGAAUAAAUAACCGUUUGAGGAUUAACNUCGGGUGGCAGCUGAUAAGGAAAGGCAGUUACUACACCACACCGNGUGCUAGGGACGANCGAGCUACAUGUUCAUACCGUCCGGACAGUGUCUUAGUAGUCNGUCAUGAUUAAAGGAAUGGGGUAUGCAUGUAUAGAAAUUGUAUGAUUGAUUUGUUUGNAUUGUACCUUUACUUGUAUGAUGAAAUGAUAAAAUUAAAUUUUACAUAAGCUUACCCUUAUCUGUUCUGUCUUUAUCUAUGUUGNCNUCCGGUUAUUCUCUUUGCUGCAAUGAUCAUCCUUUUGNG